AUCCAGCUGAAGAGUCCUAAAUAGGACGAAGCGCGCGUCCUAGAU
rnacentral:hammerhead_ribozyme from 1 species